ACCUUUGACAUGGCAGGAAUCCCGAAGAGAUUUGGGAGUGCUCGAAAGAGAACCUGCACACAGGUGCUGCAUGGCUGUCGUCAGCUCGUGUCGUGAGAUGUUGGGUUAAGUCCCGCAACGAGCGCAACCCUUGCCAUUAGUUGCUGCGAAAGGGCACUCUAAUGGGACUGCCGGUGACAAACCGGAGGAAGGUGGGGAUGACGUCAAGUCCUCAUGGCCCUUAUAGGUGGGGCUACACACGUCAUACAAUGGCCGGUACGGAGGGUAGCCAACCCGCGAGGGGGAGCCAAUCCCACAAAGCCGGUCGUAGUCCGGAUCGCAGUCUGCAACUCGACUGCGUGAAGUCGGAAUCGCUAGUAAUCGCGGAUCAGCAUGUCGCGGUGAAUACGUUCCCGGGUCUU
rnacentral:rRNA from 1 species